rnacentral:rRNA from 1 species
GUGUCAGCAGCCGCGGUAAAACGUAGGAGACGAACGUUAUCCGGAGUUACUGGGCGUAAAGGGCGUGUAGGCGGUUUGUUAAGUCUGGCGUGAAAGCUCUCGGCUAAACCGGGAGAGGUCGUUGGAUACUGGCGAACUAGAGGAUGGUAGAGGCGUGUGGAAUUCCGGGUGUAGUGGUGAAAUGCGUAGAGAUCCGGAGGAACACCAGUGGCGAAGGCGACACGCUGGGCCAUACCUGACGCUAAAGCGCGACAGCAUGGGGAGCAAACGGGAUUAGAAACCCCCGUAGUCC